rnacentral:ncRNA from 1 species
AAGGUCGCGCCGCUGCCUGGUGCCCGCGACGCGGGAGAAUCGGGAACACGGUUGAAAUCCGUGGCGUGCCCAACGCUGUAAGGGGGACCGCGCCGGCAAAAGCCACUGUCUCAGACGGGAAGGCGCCGGACGUGGGACGAUCCCAAGCCAGAAGACCGGCCCGGCAGAUAUGGUCUUC